rnacentral:rRNA from 1 species
UACAUGGGGUGCAAACGUUGCUCGGAAUUAUUGGGCGUAAAGCGCGUGUAGGCGGCUCUGCAAGUCGGGUGUGAAAUCCCACGGCUCAACCAUGGAAGUGCACUCGAAACUGCAGGGCUAGAGUCCUGGAGAGGAAGGUGGAAUGCUUGGUGUAGAGGUGAAAUUCGUAGAUAUCAAGCGGAACACCGGUGGCGAAGGCGGCCUUCUGGACAGUGACUGACGCUGAGACGCGAAAGCGUGGGGAGCAAACAGG